CAAAAUGCCCCACGACAAUUAGCCGAUGUUUCAACGACUCAGCAAAGCUAUGCCCCCACCUCCACCCCCGGGGGCUUAUGCGACCUUUCCCAGACAGCAAAGGAGUCCAAAACGGACCCGCGCUCAAGCCGCCACAUCCGCCUGACAGUCAGCCUCCGUUUUGGAUACGGGCACAGAACACAUUUCGCCUCCGUUAACGCGCAUUCAUACGGCGGAUCCACGCCGGACCCUUUGCGGAUGCGCACAUCGAACGCGCCCUUCAAAUCUGCUAACGGUUUCCUUCCUCAGUUUUUUCGCUGAUGGAGUGCGGAGGCGAAACAGCGGUGUCUGCGGGCUCACUGUCAUUCACAAGUGGCUCCAGUCUGGUUUGGGGGUCUACCCUUUCUUAUCAUGUCCUGCCACCCAAUAAAGCCAUUCACAAGUGGCUCCAGCCUGGUUUGGGGGUCUAGCCUUUCUCAUCCUGUCCUGCCACCCAAUAAAAAGAGAAAUUACUAAAGGCCUCUGCAACUGCUUUUACCAGAUGCUGUGAGAGAGUUAUGCCCUGUGCCGCGGCUUCUGAUUCAGUACAGCAGUUCAACCAGCCCAGCAAACAGGAAAAGCUCAAGGAGGUGUCUUAACUAUCAGCAUUCCUACCCAAACAGAUCAACCUACUGUUAUGUCCAACUAAGAAAAACAAUGGUCUGGUAUGAAGGUUAUCUGUGUUUUGAAACAUAAAUAUUCAUUAAAUAAUAA